GCAAGUGUCCACUCCCUUCAGAGUAAAAGCUACACCCCAGUCUUUCAGGAACUUGUUGUAAGCUAGAAGUAAAAGGACUGUUAUUGGGCAUUGACAUGAUGACUAAAAUGAGUUGGAUUGUAACAAUUUUGGGGAGAAACUAAGCACAGAUAAAGCUUAAGAUGAAGAGAAAUGGCAACCAAAGAUUCAUCAACAUGUGACCUGAAAGUUGUCCUUCUUGGUGGCAGAAACUCUGGGAAGAGCGAAGUAGGAAAUGUGCUGCUGGACAGGGAGGAGUUUGUCAUCAAGGAGCGGACCACGUGCUCUAGGAGGGUGGGAGAGGUGGCAGGUGGGUGGGUUACUGUGGUGGACACACCUGGCUGGUGGUGUGACUUCAGGGUGCAGGACACGCCUCGUCAGUCCCUCCCCUGCUCUUUUCUGUUCUUCCCUCCUCUUCUCCUCCAACUCCUGCAGAAUCCCACCCUCAAUCUUACAGUAACAACUGCUGUUGCAUGACAUCAGUUCCUCAAUCUUUCUCAUCAGUUCUGUAACCUGAAAUCCUGAGUUGCUUCUAUUGUUGAGGACAUGAUACCUGUUGCCACAGUUCUCCACAAGCCACUGGAGGGCCUCCCCCUCACUCUCAAUGUGCUGCUCGAUGGUUGUGUCUCCCAGCCAGUCCCCAAAGUUGAACAGGACGAUGAUGUGAGCCCAGACUGCGUCUGUGAUGAGCUCUAGGUGCUCCUGCACAGCUCUCCUGUAGGUCUCUGUGAAGGACCGGUCCACACGCACCAUCAGCAGGAGGGCAUGUGGACCAGGGGAGCAAAGAGAUACACUACACACUAUCUCCUGUCUGUCAACAACAGGACUAUCCUGAGAGAAGUAAUUCAUCCACCAGCCUGGAGUGUCCACCACAGUGACUUGUCUCCCGGCAACAUCCCCCUGCUCCCACCAUGCAUUGCGCUGUUCUCCUUCUGACCUCAAAGCUUCCUCCUUGACCCAGGAUGGUGUUUCCUGCUGAACUCUUCCCUGAGCCCCGAGCUCCAAGCAGUACGACUCUGAUUUCGGAGAGAUGACAUGACUCCCCUGAAGGAAACAAUGCAACAUCAUAAUAGAUAGUGCUUUACGCUGUCAUUUUUAACAAGGAGCACAUGUGCGCCUAAGUUGGAAAAUGUAGGAGCACACAAUGAAAUGAAGCUGCACAAUGAGAAAUAUUUUUUAUUUUUUUAUUUUUUAUUUAACCAGGUAGGCCAGUUGAGAACAAGUUCUCAUUUACAACUGCGACCUGGUCAAGAUAAAGCAAAGCAGUGCGACACAAACAACAUGGAAUAAACAAAAGUACAGUCAAUAACACAAUAGAAAAAGUCUAUAUACAGUGUGUGCAAAUGUAGUAAGGUGGUAAGACAAUAAAUAGGCCAUAGUAGCGAAGUAAUUACAAUUUAGAAAAUUAACAAGGGAGUGAUAGAUGUGCAGAUGAGGAUGUGCAAGUAGAAAUACUGGUGUGCAAAAGAGCAAAAAAGUAAAUAAAAACAAUAUGGGGAUGAGGCAGGUAGGUUGGAUGGGAUAUUUACAGAUGGGCUGUGUGCACCUGCAGCCAAUGGUUAGCUGCUCAGAUAGCUGAUGCUUAAAGUUAGUGAGGGAGAUAUAAGUCUCCAACUUCAGCGAUUAUUGCAAUUCGUUCCAGUCAUUGGCAGCAGAGAACUGGAAGAAAGGUGGCCAAAAUUGGUGUUGGCUUUGGGGAUGACCAGUGAGAUAUACCUGCUGGAGCGCGAGCUACGGGUGGGUAUUGUUAUGGUGACCAGUGAGCUGAGAUAAGGCGGAGCUUUACUUAGUCUGGCGACGAAUAUGUAGCAAGGGCCAGUCAACGAGAGCAUACAUGUACAUGAAGUCGAGGAUCGGUAGGAUAGUCAAUUUUACGAGGGUAUGUUUGGAAGGAGGCUUGGUUGCGAAAUAGGAAGCCGAUUCUAGAUCAAUUUGGAUUGGAGAUGUAUAAUAUGAAUCUGGAAGGAGAGUUUACAGUCUAGCCAGACACCUAGGUAUUUGUAGUUGUCCACAUUUAAGGUAAUAAAGCUAGAAUCCUUCAUUUAUGAAUUCCAAGUCUCACAGCAAAAUUUUUUGGCACAUAUGUGAGUAAAAUGGUCGCACUGUAAAGCCCUGAUAGAACAGAAAUAUUCUAAAAUCUACUGUUGGCAAUAUGGCAAAGCAUUGUGUCCUAAGAACCAUCUUAGUGAUAACUUACCAUUGAGCAGAGAUCUCUGUUUCUGCAUCUUCAUCAAUCUCUGCUGAGCCCUUUGCUCCACUAUCCUCUUCUUUUCCUCCACCUCUUGUAAAAGCAGUUCCUCCAUUUUAAAACAGCUGUGACUAUUUUCUGUCACCAGUCUCUGCAUCUUCCUGAACAGCCCUGUGACCUGAUUUCCACCUGGUCCACUCUUCAUGUUGAGGCAGUGAUACCUAUGACUGCAUUUCUCCACCAGCCACAGGGGGGCCGUGCCUCCCCUCUUGACUUGCUGCUCCAUGUGCAGGUGUCCAGGCCAGUCACUGCAGGUGAAGACGACCAUACAGUGACUCCACACUCUCUCACUGAGGAGGGCCAGGUGCUCCUCUACAGCCCUGCGACGCUUCUCACAGAACACUGAGUGUGCCUCAAUGACGAUAAGGAAAAUAUGGGGUCCCGGGGUGGACAGAGAGACACUGCGCACAUUUUGCAAUUGUUCAUAGUGCUUUAAAUCUAACAAUGUGAAUGAAACACUUUGUAUUCAUACAUUUUAUGUCCACAGCAGACGUGUUAUACAUGACAGUAUUCUUAUUUGUUUGUGACAGGGGAGCUCUACUGUCCCUCAGAGCUGAGAAUAAUGCUGCUGAGUGGCCGCAACACAGGCAGGAGCUCUGCUGGAAACACCAUCCUGGGCAGAGAGCACUUUAAAGUAGGGUGCCAUGCUACUGACUGUGUGGAAGGACAAGGAAAGGGCAGGGGUAAGACUGUGACAGUUUUGGACCCACCAGGCUGGCUGUCAGUGGGUCCUGGCUCCCUGACGUCUCCCUCAGCCUCUGGGGUAACUGUGGUCCUGGUGGUUGUGAAUGUGAGCUCCUCCUUCAGCCACACUGUCUGGAGAACAGCAGAAAAACACCCGGAGGUGCUCGGAGAGAAAGUAUGGAAUAGAAUCAUGGUCCUAUUCCCCUUUGGGGACUGGCUGGGGGACACGACCAUCGAGCAGCGCAUUGAGAGUGAGGGAGAGCCCCUCCAGAGGCUUGUCGAGAGGUGUGUGAACAGAUAUCAUGUGUUGGACAGUAAGAACCAAGGGACUGGUGCACAGGUCACUGAGCUGCUACAGAAGAUAGAGGAGAUGCUGGUGGAGGAGAGGUUGGAGGUUCUACAGAGAAGAGAAUAGGUUGGGAAGAGUCUCACAGUGAUGCAGGAGCCAGAGAUAGAUGGAGUGAUGGGAGAGGGCAGAGAGGUCCUUGUAGCAAACCACACAGAUGCUCCCUUUCAUGAUGCGUGUGAGGUGGCUAGUUCAGAGGACCUUCUAACCCCAGAUGACUCAGGAGCCCCAGACUUUGGUGUACAGGAGUUGGCACUACCAGAGGCCAGUGGAGGAUGGUGGACUGAAGCAAAUCACUCCAUCCUUGAUGUGGAGGGGUUUCUGUCCAGCAUGGCCAGUGUGCUUCAGGGGAAUCAGGAGGGGCUGAUGUGGAACAUGGGGGGCAGACAGACACUAGUGGUGAACCUCCCAGACUGUCUCCACGCUGGACCUACUCAGAGCCAUCAUCUGAGAUGGAAUGGACAGAAUGGUAGAAAACGGGUCACCCUGUUCUCUCCAGGACACCAAGCUCUCCUCCUGGUCCAGCAACCCAAAGAACCAGAAAGAAUGCUGGUGAAGAACCAGGAAGACAUAGUGGAUAUACAGUCCCUUGGACACCCCAGGCUGAGGGACAUGACCCUCAAGGAGAUAACAGAACAGGAGGCCUGCAGGCCUUGAUUGACCAAUGGGGGAACAGUAAUUUGGAGGAGCUUGAAGCCUUCAUUGACUCCUAUUUUGAAAUGGUGUGGAAGAAAACCAUGGGGUCUUUCAUAGUAGAGGAGGACGACUGUCUCACCAUCAACAGCCCAGAGCUGAAUGAUGUUGGGGAGGAUCUUGUAAAUAAUGGUGACCAGGAGGUGCUGUCAUCCAUUGACAAGAAGCUGUCUAAGCUGGACCUCCUGGAAGGCAUGCAGAGAGACUUGCUGGACCUCAGACAGAGUCUGGAUCGCAGCUGUGACAUCAUACAGGAACUCAGUGACAAAAGUAAAGCAACACAGAAGCCUGCUGUUCCCUCUGAUGCAGGGGAGGCAGAAGUGGAGGAAAGUUGCUUAUCGGAGAGAUGUUCAACAAUAACAUAAAUGAUAAGUUAUAGAUUGGUUUGUUUUAUCUAAAUAUGCCCUAACAUCAUUGUUCAGGUAACAACUAAUUAACAGUAUUGAUUUAUUGAUGGAGUUAAUGCUAAUGGCGAGGCAGUAUAUUAACUUCAUGAUGUCAUGUGUUUCCACAAGGGGGAGCCCUCUGACAAGCAAUUGUGGGGGGUUGGUCUCCUGCAUAGGUUACUGUAUCUAUUUCACUACAUGAAAUAUUUCACUCCAUUAUUAUGCAAGAUACCAGUCAUUUUAAAUCAGUUAUUGUUGAUAAUUUCCUAGAUUAUUAUUUUAUUUAUCUUAUGAGGCUUGUAUAAAGACAUAUCAGGGUCCAGAUGACAGCACGUGUCAUGCCAAAAAAGUAACGUAUUAUAUAUCAUGAAACAUAUCAUGCCAUCCAAGUGGCCACUCUUUUUUUGUGUUUGCUCAUGAGACUUGUUCGAGUCAAUGUAAAAAGAAUUGACAGCAACAAAGACUGAGAGCCGUGACCCUCUUAGGUGGUGGGUAAGCUGAGGAUGAAAAACUGUCUGACUGUGCUGUGAUGUGGUGACUGUCUGCAGGUGCUGCAGCCCCAGCCUCAGCCCACUGGCUGAUGACUCAUCUCUCUACAGCAGAAGCAGAACAUGUACAGUAGAACUGGGCUGAUUCACAACUGGAAGGGAAAUACUCUAGGUCUUCACAUUGGGUAGCUACUGUACAUAAAUAAGGGCAUGGAGUUUUUCCUCUUCAGGUCACAUGGUUAGGAAACACUUCAGGUGCUCUUCACAAUUGCUCUCCAUCUUGCAACAUGCUGAGGUGUGUGAGAGGGAGAGAGAAAGAGUGAGAGAGAAAGGGGGAGGAAUAGUAAGAGAGAGAGGGAGAGCAAGAGAGAGAGAUGCAGAAACAGAGCAUGUCCUAAAUUACCUUCAAUCUCCGGUUAAUGAAAAACAGGAAGUUGGUUCAGGCAGACCAGACAUUGUGUUAGCUGAGAAUACCAUAAAGCUGGAAGGCUACAUUUCUAAUAUAAUAAUAUAAUAUAUGCCAUUUAGCAGACGCUUUUAUCCAAAGCGACUUACAGUCAUGUGUGCAUACAUUCUACGUAUGGGUGGUCCCGGGAAUCGAACCCACUACCCUGGCGUUACAAGCGCCAUGCUCUACCAACUGAGCUACAGAAGGACCCUUUCAGAAUUUGCCCAAGAGCCAGAGAGAUGAGUCACACAGACACAUACAGCGGCUAAUAGAUUUCUGGCUGGGUUAAUAAAAACAAUUUGCAAAGCCUGGUGCAGUCAAGGUCAAUCUCUAUCUACCUUUAAAGCCAACAUGUAAGAACCUCAAAGUAAAGUGUUUUUAUUGGGCAAUUUCUGUUGAAAUCUGGAAAUGUGAAGACAUAAAAAAAAUGUUUUUGCCAAUAUAUUAUUUUUUGGACCCUCUGAACGAGGUUACAACGUUGACAGAUUGAUGAAAAAAUAGAUGUUUUAUUGUCACAUACACCAGAUAGGCAGUUCUGUAAAAAAUAUUGAUACUCAGACAUUGUAGAAUUGCUGAAACUUAGGCCCAAAACCAGCCAGACAAUUGUACUUUCCGCUCAAUACUGUUUUUUUGUCAACCUCUAGUUGAACUCUCUACAUCCAAUAUCCACCAUUGUUAAUAGCAACAAUGGGUUAUUUUAGAGUAAAGAAAUCCCACAGCCACAAAGUGAGGCUCUUGGGGCAUAAAUGCACUUGUUCACAUAGCCUCGGCAUCCAGUCUCUUCCCUGGCCUGGUGUGUUUUUCCCUACUCAAACUAGAAGUACCAUUCUGGGAGCAUGCAUUAUGCAGCGAUCCCCAGACUGCUUGUAGAGAGUGAGGAGGGUCCCACCUGGUGUGUUCAGAGUGCAUCUCCCCACCGCCCACCUUACUGGCCAAUGGGAGAGAGGGUUGUGACUGCCAUCCCAGCAUUGCCUGAACUGGAAAGAAAGGAGAGUAAGUACAAAGUGGUAAACAGAGAGGAUAUGGGAUGUUUUAAUAUGUUGUAAUAUGAACCAUGGCUCUCAAACAACAGAUGUAAACUCCAAAAGGGUUCUCCGGCUGUCCCCAAAGGAGAACCCUUUUGGGUUCCAUAUAGAACCCUCUGUGGAAAGGGUCUCCUAUGGCGACAGCCGGAGAACCCUUUUAGGUUCCAGAUAGCACAUUUUUUCCUAAGAGUGUACAAGGGAGGAGGAAGGGAAAGAGUGGUGAUGAGUAGAUUUGAUGUUUGCAAGACUUCCUCCCACUGUGAGCCAGAGGUGACUUGCAAUCAUGAUCUCUUUAUCUCUGUCAGUCUCUCUCUGCAUCUCACUGGAUUAUUCCCUCAUGAAUAUCAAUCCCCCUUUUAUCCACUCCUCCCUCUCUUUCUCACCCUCUUGCUGUAACAUCCAUCCUCCUUUAGCCUCCAACAGCCUAACACAGCAGGCAUAGAAAGACAUCUGAGCGAAGUUCCCACUUCCGAUGUUCAGGGGAAACUGAAGUUAGGUUGAAAAUACUCCAUCCCUGUAAAGCAGAUGUUAUGUGUGUUCUGGUGACGCAGCAUAGGAUAGUCCUCCAGUCACUAGUCUUCUUCUCUCUACCCCCCCAAUCUUACAGCUCCAGUUGUGAGUCUCAGCCCUCCCCACUCAUUAAAAAAGAUUUGCAGCUUGGACGGAAGCUGGAGAGAAAUGGAUCUCUCAGCGUGAUGGUGGUGCAGUGGCCGUUUGGCCCAGGAGACAGUCUUGAGCCCACAUUCAU